UACAGAGGUUUCAAGCGUUGUUCGGAUUCAUUGGGCGUAAAGGGUGCGUAGGCGGCGUGGUAAGUCGGGUGUGAAAUCUUGGAGCUUAACUCCGAAACUGCAUUCGAUACUGCCGUGCUUGAGGACUGGAGAGGAGACUGGAAUUUACGGUGUAGCGGUGAAAUGCGUAGAUAUCGUAAGGAAGACCAGUGGCGAAGGCGGGUCUCUGGACAGUUCCUGACGCUGAGGCACGAAGGCCAGGGGAGCAAACGGG
rnacentral:rRNA from 1 species